UUUCAUUUCUUCCUUACUAAUUGCAUUUCGAAGGUUUUAUUCAAACUAAAUCUAAACAUAGGAGACGAGUAGAGAAUGAGGCAAAACACUUUAAUAAUAGUUCUGUUGUCAAUUUUUAUUCCACACAGCGUGGAGUGUAUGAAAAUUAAAAAAAGGAGCUGCAGUUGUAACGAUAUAUCAUUGGUAAACACGGAACGACAGAAAAGGGCAGAUAAAUGGAGCGAAUGCUUAGACAUAUGUAUUUCCAGAGAUUGUAUAGCUGCAGGUUGUCAUUAUGAAACAACCUGCUCGGAGAUGUGUGUUCCGAAUGACUUUGAUUCUUCCUCUCUUACCGAUUGUAAAGUCACAAUAGAAAAGGAAAUAGAAAAAGAAGAUAAUGAAUGGAACACAUGUCGACGUCACUGUAACACCGAGUCCUGCCACCAAAAUGAAACGUGUCAUUUCAAGAAUAUUGAAAUUUGUGGUUCGAGUAUGGCCGUUGACAUGUGUUUACCAAAAGCAACCGAUAUUACAUAGUUCAAUACAUAUAUAUAUUUUUGUUUUCCUUAAGAAUGCAUUUUUCACAAGGUCUUUUCAAGGAUUUGUAUAUGUAUAGAAUACAAAUCCUUGGUCUUUUCAAAGUAACAAAAAAAAGGAUUAGGGUAAGGAGAUAUAAAAAAAUAAGGAAAUAUGGUACGAUUGCCACUGAUUGGUAUGUUAUGCAUGUGCGGUGCCAGAAAAUUAGAACACUAAAUCUAAUUGAGACCAGCGACUGCCAUUUGUUCAAAUAUCUUUGUUAGACAUUUUCUUCAAUAAAUAAGAAUAAAGCAAUAAGAAAUCAAAA